AAAUAUUACUUCCAUUUAUUUUUAUUAUAUCAUCAUCGAAAAGAUUAUAUUUUGGUCAUUCAUUUUGUCUAGUAUAAGAUUUUCGUCAUUUACUGUGAGUAAAAUAGAGUGUUCAAAGCAAGCUUAAGCUGUUGAAUAUAUUAGCAUGGAAUAAUAAGAUAAGACCUUGGUCUAAAUAUUUUGUUGGUUUGUUUAUCAAGGUAAUGAUUAAUAGGGAUAGUUGGGGGUAUUCGUAUUCAAUUGUCAGAGGUGAAAUUCUUGGAUUUAUGGAAGACGAACAACUGCGAAAGCAUUUACCAAGGAUGUUUUCAUUAAUCAAGAACGAAAGUUAGGGGAUCGAAGAUGAUUAGAUACCAUCGUAGUCUUAACCAUAAACUAUGCCAACUAGGGAUUAGUGAUUGUUUGUUAUGACAUCAUUAGCACCUUAUGAGAAAU
rnacentral:rRNA from 1 species